rfam:Canis lupus familiaris chromosome 6, whole genome shotgun sequence.
AGCUUUGCGCAGUGGCAGUAUCGUAGCCAAUGAGGUUUAUCCGAGGCGCGAUUAUUGCUAAUUGAAGUCAUUUAAUGUUCUGAAAUUCAAUAGUGGUGGUGGAAUCACAACAAUAUGAAUAUACUAAAACCAUUUUUAAAAAGGUAUAUUUUUAUGG